CAGUAGCCGCGGGAAUACGAAGGGGGCUAGCGUUGUUCGGAAUUACUGGGCGUAAAGCGCACGUAGGCGGACAUUUAAGUCAGGGGUGAAAUCCCGGGGCUCAACCCCGGAACUGCCUUUGAUACUGGGUGUCUAGAGUAUGGAAGAGGUGAGUGGAAUUCCGAGUGUAGAGGUGAAAUUCGUAGAUAUUCGGAGGAACACCAGUGGCGAAGGCGGCUCACUGGUCCAUUACUGACGCUGAGGUGCGAAAGCGUGGGGAGCAAACAGGAUUAGAUACCCCGGUAGUCCCUGUCUCUUAUAC
rnacentral:rRNA from 1 species